ACGCUCGACACCUACGGGAGGCAGCAGUGGGGAAUAUUGCACAAUGGGGGAAACCCUGAUGCAGCGACGCCGCGUGGAGGAAGAAGGUCUUCGGAUUGUAAACUCCUGUUGUUGGGGAAAAGAGGAUGGUACCCAACAAGGAAGUGACGGCUAACUACGUGCCCGCAGCCGCGGUAAUCUGAGCGGGCUGGCAAGGC
rnacentral:rRNA from 1 species